AAAUAUCUAUAAGCAUCAACUUCUUGACUUUGCCCAGUAUUUUUGGGUGCUUUAAAUAGAAAACAAAGGCUUUAAAAAAGCACCCUGCAAAAGGAAAAGAAAAGAAAAAAGGGUGCUUUAUACAGUCCUUUUUUCUGUACACUUACAAACAAAUUGGACUCAAAACUCCUUCACAAACUGCUCAUCUGCAAAAAUAAUCACUUUAUAAGUUAUAAAUGAAUAUAGAACUUGCAAAGAGCACAACAUUGCUCCUCUUAAUUUACAUCUAGAUGCUUGUUGAACAGUCCAUUUUGAUAUGAGGGAUUCCUAUGAUUGAUUAGGGAUAAUAUUUCAGAAAGUGUGUGCCAUUCAACCACUGUAUGCCAUUUUUGAAUCAAGGACUAUGCAAAUUACGU
rnacentral:misc_RNA from 1 species